rnacentral:lncRNA from 1 species
AAGCCGCUCCUCCGGAUGGCGACAGAGACGGCCUGACGCGCCCGCAGCCUGGGCCCCCCACGGGGAGGACGGCCGGGCCAGGUGAAGUUCGCGCACUUGGGCCUUCCGCGCCCCCAUCCACCGCAGCCAGGGCCUGGAAGGCUGGGGAGGGGGCGGGGGCGGCAGACGCCUCCUAAGGUGGGUUCUGGGACUUGGAUCCGGAGUUUAUUCCAAGGAGAGGGUGCUCUGGGCCUGUUCCCUAGGUGUGCCCUGUUACCCAAAAUCGGGCUUGUGCAGUGGGGUCCCUGAGUCCACUGGGAGCACAGCCUCAGACCCCAGCAGAGUCACCCUUCAUCGGAAGCCCACCACCCUGAGGGCUCCUCCUCCACCUGGGGCGGCACUGCCAGGCACAGGCACGCACUUUCCCUCAGUCCUCUGCCCCACGAUCACUCUACUCGGGCACCUCUGCCACUGCCUGGUCCUUGCUGAGCCAUCUCCUGGUUCAUCUCCCUGGAGUCCCUGCAGGACCGGCUCUCAGUGGCGUCUCCGGGCUCCCAGUCCCAGGACUGGUCCUAUCCAGCCCAGGAGAUACGCUCCCCAGUCCAGGAUGUCCAGAUGGCCCUGCUGCCUGGAGAGGCUCUGGCCCCUGCCGGUAGCUGCCACAGCACCACCCCAAGCUCUGCCUUCCUGCAGGUUCGUGCACACGACUAAUAGAACCCCUCCUCUGGAACUCACAAGAUAUUCUCCAUCCUGCAUAGGGCUGGGGGCUUGAGCACCCCAGGAGAUUCUUUUGGCGCUGGAGACCCUUUUCUGAGGAGCCAGUAGAGGGCCUGCAAGUCAGAUUGAGCAACCAGGGAGAAGAAGCAUCAUCCCUUCAUCUUGAGGCCUGGUCCAGGGAGGUGAAGGGAUGUGGACUGUCCCCAGCCGUACACUCACCCACAACUCAUGCAUGCAAGCAUUCAUGCCCCAAUGCACACACAGCACCACACACACACAUAUUUUCCUUGAAUCUCUCUCUCUCUCUCUCACACACACACACACACACACACACACACACACUCUCCCAUCCACACACACACAACACUUUAGGAGAAACUGAGCAAAGAAAGGCAGCCUCUCACUGCGAGUCCUCUAACCCCCGUCCCAGUGGUUGUUGUGCACUGAAGCUUCCUUGCCAGGGGCUCUGACGGGAUUCUUGUGUUAAUAUGAUUGUGUCCAUGCUUGUUUUCUCCCAUCAAUUUUGAAUCCUGUUUAAUUAAAACGCUGACUUUCCUGUUUAGUAUCUUCUCAACUGCAGCUUCUCCCCGCUCUCUUUCCUGGCAGGGAGGUGAUUCUGCAGAAGUUGGGGCUCCUGACAACUUUGGGGUGGCCAUGAGGGACGUACCUCUUGCCUCUGGAUGUGCAGGGUGGGCCUGGGACCCUGGCAGGGAGGGGCUCCCUCAAUGGGAUUCUGUGGAGUCAGCCAUUGAUGCCCAGGUCUCCACCCUUACAAUUUCAUUCCUUUCAUUGAAGCCUUUUUUCCUGCUAAAAAGGAUGUGGCUUUUAAAAUGUUACAGAUUCCAAUUCAUCCUGUCCAUCCCGAACUCCUGUGCCAGACAUUCCUUCAUUCAACCUCUGUUUAUUGAGCAACUACUUGGGCCAGGCACUGGGACUGGGGAAGCCAACAAGACAUAGAUUUUCUGUCCCCCUGGAAAGUGACAGUCAGUUUGAGAAACAGACAAGGAAACAAACAAUUCCAGUGCAGUGUGGCAAGCGUCACGAUGGGAGGGAGAGGAGAGCACUCUUGGAGCACAAGAGAGGAGCAUUUACCCUAAAAUCACACUCUAGAACACAGCAAGGUGUGUGCCAGGGAAGGCUUCCAGGAGACUGGUUUCCAGGCCCUUUUGGUCCAUCCUUAGGACAAACACACACACACAUGCACACAUAUAUGCACAUACAUGAACACACACACGCACGUGAACACACAGGCACACACAUCCACACACACGCACAUACAUGCACACACAUGCUUUAACACACAUGCACACACGCAUGCACAAACAUGCUUGGAGUGAAACUUUCCGAAGCAAUAUUUA